AAGAAACAUGAUUUUGCACUUUUUUUUUUUUUUUUGUCUUUUUCGUUUUUAUCGGUACCAGGGAUCAAACUCAUGACUGCCUGCUUGCAAGGCAGGCGCUUAUGCUGCUUAGCUAAAUCCCCAGCCCCGCACUUCUUUUUUUUUUUUUUUUUUUUGGUACCAGUGAUCGAACUCAUGACCAUGCUCUUGCAAAGCAGGUAUUUAUUUUGCUGAGCUAAACCCCCAUCCCCACGCUUUUAAAAUACUGUUUUGUUUUGUUUAUUGCAACAGCAUCUUGCUAUAUAGUUCAGAAUGGCCUUGUAAUCACUACAUAGCCUAGGUGGCCUUGAACACAUGCAGUCCUUCUGCUUUAGCCUCACAAGUGCUGGGAUUACAGGCAUUCCUGGGGUGCUUUUGUGUUUUCUUUUGGGUGCAGACAGCAAAUGUUGCUUUUGUGAUGCUCAGAGUGAAACCAGGGCCUUCUGCAUGCCUGGUUCUGAGCUGCACCCCUUUUCACUGUGGCAGCUGCUGGAGACAAGCUGGAGAGCAAAGGUCCAAAGGUCAGACCCGCAGGCCAGUGGCAGGGAGCCCCUGUGGCCUCUAGUAUGUCCCUUUAAAAGGAAGGCCGUCCCUGGCAACUGGUGCUCAGCUGGGGCCCUGGGUAGGUGGCCCUUGGGAAAGGAAGAAGCAAGACUGGGCGGGGGUGGGGACUGACCAGAAAGGUGACUUUGACAGUAACCAGAGACCAGGACAAGACUGAAGGCGGAGAGGACAGCCUGGGCCUUUCCUGCUGACCUGAGGCUGAGAAAGGGUUCUGGAGAAAUCCACGGUCUGGUCCCCCAUUCUCCAAAGGCUUAGGUGUUGCUCCCACUGCAAUGCUACUGGGACCUGGAGGAGACUCUAAGAGGUCUUGCUAUAUAGUUCAAACUGGCCUUGAAUUCAUGGUGAUCCUCCUGAGUCCUGAGAUUACAGGUGUGUACCAACAAACCCAGCUGACUUUCCAUUUAUGAGCAGCAGAAUGAACAGCUGCUUAGUCUUGUUUGAGUCUCUCUGGGACAACCCUUAAAAACCUUUGAAAUGUUUGGACUUCAUGAGACCCAAAUUCUAGAACUGGCUGUGUUUCCUCUUGUGUCAGCUCGACAAGGGCAGGGUUCGUGUUGUAAGCUACACCCUGUGCCAGAGAUGGGCUACAGAGGGAAGACAGGUCUCACACAGGGUUUCCAUGGAGAUUCAAGAGAGACUUGGGGCAGUAUGCUGUGCUGAGUGUGAGACAGAGGGACCCAUAGGUGCCCUGGGAGAGGAGAGAAGUGCAACUGGCUGGAUGUCUGGGAAAGGCCUUGUCAAGGAGCUACUUUUGGGGGCUGUGUGGUGCUAGACAUUGAGCCCAGUGCCUUUCACACGCAAGGCAGGCACUCUAACCCAACCCAAGCUAUACUCCGAGGCCUUGAAGGAGUCUAAGGUAGUGAUGUGGAACCAAGCCCUAGGCCUCCAUGUACUGGGCUGCAGGACGGGCGCACAGCAGAAGCAGGGCAGGGUGUCGGGGAGGACACUCACCGGGGGACAACUGGAGAUUCCACCACUGCCAAAGAAGAACUCAUCCUUGUGUACAACUAUGGAGGUGUGCCUGCAUGGAGAGACACAGGGACUCAGAAAACUCCUGAUGUGACCCAGAAAAAGCAAGUGCCAACAGCAAAGAGAACACUUUCUCCCCAAGGAUGGCACUGUGGUGACCAGCCUUAUACCACCCAACACAUGCACGAAGAAGAAGCUACAGCUAUCCCCUCUUGUCCGUUCCUGAGGCCCGCCCCCACAGCUACCAAAAUCUGUAAUGCACAAGUCUGUUUUAUAAAAUGGCACUUAGCUUUUGCCCAGAACCUAUGUACAUCUUCAAAUCAUUUCAAGAUGAGUGAAUUCUAAUAGCUACUGCAAUGUAAAUGUUAUGCUCUGUUGUUUAGGGAAUAAGUUUUUCAAAGUCUGUUCACGUGCAGUGCAGGUGCACUUGAUUUCUGUUUUUUUGUGGCAUUGGGGGUUGCACCCAGGGUCUCACGUCUGCCACAGGCAAGUGCUUUAGUGCUGAGCUGUGUCCCCAGCCAUGACACGAGCCCUCUCCCCCCUGCAGUGUGUUCACUCUGCAGCUGGAUGAACUCGUACAGCUCAUACACAGCACAACUGCUGCACUCUGCACACUCACACGGCUGCUGGACCACUGUUGUGGGGUGUCCUGCACAUUAGAGGAUGCUGAGCCACUUGCCUGGCUUCUCUGUGUUCACUAGCAUCUUCCCCCAGCAUGACAAACAAAAAUGUCUUUUUUUUUUUUUUUCUGAGACAGGGUCUCGCUAUGUAGUCCAGGAUGAACUUGAACUCACUAUGUAGCCCAGGCUGGCCUCACACUCAAGGUGAUUUUCCUGCCCCAGCCUCUCAAGUACUUGGAUUACAAGCAUAUGCGUUCACACCUGGCCAAAAAUGUUUCUCGACACUGCCAAACAAUUGUCCCUUGGAGGAGGGUGGGGGUGCAAAUCAGCCCUAGUGGAGAAUCGCUGCUUUAGGACGUGGGGACCUAGAACUGCGUGCAGUGCUGCCUCCUUUCCUAAGUGGUCACCACCAGGCUCCCCACUACUUACCAGAUGCCUUCCAGUUGUUUCCCUGUGGAGAAAAGAAGAGAGUUAGCCACUUGGGAUUGGACUGCGGGGCCUCUGCCGGAGUAAAUCUGAACCAGUUCCUCAAUCCCCGAGGAACCUGCCGCACCCCCUGAGGGACUUUCUAGGAAUGCUCUCUCUCGAGCAGGAAGGGCUGUGAGAAGGGCACCCGGUGUUCAGUCAGAAGGAAUCAGAGUCCUUCUCAGAGGCAAGAGAAAAACACUGGUAUAAGUGUACACUAAUUUUAUGCCUGGUUUUCUUUCUCAUCUGAGGUCAAAUCAGCUUUGCUUUUUAAAGGUUUGCCUCACCUAUGAUAAGCCCAUAGUAAAUUAAUACAAGCUGUUACCACUUCACUGAGGUAAAAUUCUUCAACAAAUAAUGCAAACAAACUUGGCAUAUGUCACACAUUUUAAUUAAUGUCACACAUUCAAUGGUCAUCUAUCUAUUUACUUGGGACAGGGUCUCAUUAUAUAGUUCAGGCUGGCCUUGAACUAUGUAGCCCAGGUUAACUUCAAAUUUAUGGUAAUCCUCCUGCUUUGGCCUCCCUAGUGUAGGGUUACAGGCAUGCACCACCAUACCUGGCCGCGUUUGUUUAUUUUUUGGUGCUGGGGGUUGAAUUCUGGGCCUCAGGCAUGUGAAGCAUGUGUUCUAUUACUGAGCCACAUUCCCAGCCCAAUGCACGUUUACUCCACAUGUGCCAGUACACUGUUAGGUGGGAAAACACAAAUGCAAACAGAUUACUGUCCUGCCUCUAAGUAGUUCAAAAUCAAGUGAAAAAAGAUAAACACCUAAUUAGCUAAAACACAGUGCUCAUAGCUCCAUACCAGGGCCAGUGGGGGCCAGAUCACACAGAACCCUCUGGAACUUGAGCUCUCUAUGCCUGAGCUGUCUAACAGGGUGGCCACUGUCCACGUGAGCCAUUAAAAUGAAAAUGAAGUAAAAUAAAAUUCACAGAUGCCUUAGCCACAUUUCAAGUACUUUAGAGCCAUUGUAGCUACUUGUCAGUGACCACAUAGGGCAGGUCCAGAACACUUCCAUUAUUGCACAAAGUUCUAUCAGGCAUGCUAUUUGACUCUUAGUUUCCUAC